GGGGGAAUAUUGGACAAUGGGGGAAACCCUGAUCCAGCAACGCCGCGUGGGCGAAGAAGGCCUUCGGGUUGUAAAGCCCUUUUCUGAGGGAAGAGGAAGGACGGUACCUCAGGAAUAAGCCUCGGCUAACUACGUGCCAGUAGCCGCGGUAAAACGUAGGAGGCGAGCGUUAUCCGGAUUUACUGGGCGUAAAGGGCAAGUAGGCGGUUGCCAAAGUUGGGCGUGACAUCUCUCGGCUUAACUGGGAGGGGUCGCUCAAAACUAGGCGACUUGAGGGCAGGAGAGGGAAGCGGAAUUCCUAGUGUAGCGGUGGAAUGCUCAGAUAUUAGGAAGAACACCAGUGGCGAAGGCGGCUUCCUGGCCUGUACCUGACGCUGAGAGGCGAAAGCUAGGGGAGCGAACGG
rnacentral:rRNA from 1 species